rnacentral:rRNA from 1 species
GUCGAGGUUGCCCUUGCGGUCAAUCAUUCGCGGGAGUUGUAUUUUCACUUCAAGCUGCCAGCCUUUCCGUCUGAGAGUCAAUGUUGGAAUUAUAGUAAUCGUUAAAACUUUCAACAACGGAUCUCUUGGUUCUCGCAUCGAUGAAGAGCGCAGCGAAAUGCGAUAAGUAGUGUGAAUUGCAGAAUUCCGUGAAUCAUCGAGUUCUUGAACGCAUAUUGCGCCUUCAGGCAUUCCUGAAGGCAUGCCUGUUCGAGCGUCAUCAAACAUCCCGUCAAGGAUCGGUUUGGACAUUGCCACCGGUUCUUGGUUUUGAUUAAAGAGCGGAUGUGAAGCCGUUCUUGAUUGAAUUAUAUUUGCAAAGAUUGGAAUGCACGAUUCGACGUGAUAAAACUUCAUUUCGUCCGAGUUUGUUUCCGCUUUGCUCCAAUCCGGUUCC